rnacentral:lncRNA from 1 species
AACUGGGGCGAUCCUUCCUACCCAAACCUUUCCACCUCUCCAAAUCACAUUUACCAUGCGCAACAAAACUGGGGCAAUCCUUCCUGCUCAAACCUUUCCACCUCUCCAAAUCACAUUUACCAUGCGCAACAAAAUUGGGGCAAUCCUUGCGAGCCAUGCAUGUUUAGAUAUUAACAAGACCUCCCCAAGUGAGGAAAUUUCAAAUGCUAAUGUCGCCCAUAGAUGAUCAUCCAGCCAUCUACCUUUCGUACCCAUUUUCUACACCUUCUCGGGUUCAAGCUAGUUUGGUUUGCAAAAAGCG